rnacentral:lncRNA from 1 species
UAGGUCGCAGCGGAGGUCGCCACUAGGGAACUCAGGGAUGGAGGACUGCAGUAAUGGAUGUUCGGCAUCGUAUGCUGAAGAAGAAGAAUUAGAAGCUUCGACCGAGUCGUAUGAUGAAGAAGGAGGAUCAGAAGCUUCGACCCAGACGUUUAGGGCCAAAGAUCUCAUUAUCACAAAAGCCGAUGUCUUAAAAAAGAAGCCCGACCCCAGCUCGCUGGUCUUUGGAGCUUCGUUCACUGACCACAUGCUGAUGGUGGAGUGGACCUCCAAGUAUGGAUGGGAUAAGCCUCACAUCAAGCCUUUUGAAAACUUGUCCAUACAUCCCGCUGCCUCUGUUUUGCACUAUGCUGUGGAAUUGUUUGAAGGCUUGAAGGCUUUUCGGGGAGUUGA